GACGAACGCUGGCGGCGUGCCUAAUACAUGCAAGUCGAGCGGAAGUUGAAGAGCUUGCUCUUCAACUUUAGCGGCGGACGGGUGAGUAACACGUGGGCAACCUGCCCUGCAGAUCGGGAUAACUCCGGGAAACCGGUGCUAAUACCGAAUAGUUUUCGCCACCUCCUGGUGGCGUAUGGAAAGACGGUUUCGGCUGUCACUGCAGGAUGGGCCCGCGGCGCAUUAGCUAGUUGGUGGGGUAACGGCCCACCAAGGCGACGAUGUGUAGCCGACCUGAGAGGGUGACCCGCCAAACGGGGACUGAGACACGGCCCAGACUCCUACGGGAGGCAGCAGUAGGGAAUCUUCCGCAAUGGACGAAAGUCUGACGGAGCAACGCCGCGUGAGUGACGAAGGUUUUCGGAUCGUAAAACUCUGUUGUGAGGGAAGAACAAGUACCAACUAACUACUGGUACCUUGACGGUACCUCACCAGAAAGCCACGGCUAACUACGUGCCAGCAGCCGCCGUAA
rnacentral:rRNA from 1 species